rnacentral:tRNA from 1 species
GGCAUGUUGCCAGAGUGGUUAAUGGGUGAGACUUGAAUUCCACUGCGAAUUAAGCCAUCUCAUGACUUCGGUCGCGUAGGUUCAAAUCCUGCACAUGUCG